AACGCUAGCUACAGGCUUAACACAUGCAAGUCGAGGGGCAGCAUUGGAGUAGCAAUACUUCAGAUGGCGACCGGCGCACGGGUGAGUAACACGUAUCCAACCUGCCGCUUACUCGGGGAUAGCCUUUCGAAAGAAAGAUUAAUGCCCGAUGGUAUAAAGAGUUCGCAUGUUCUCUUUAUUAAAGAAUUUCGGUAAGCGAUGGGGAUGCGUUCCAUUAGAUUGUUGGCGGGGUAACGGCCCACCAAGUCUACGAUGGAUAGGGGUUCUGAGAGGAAGGUCCCCCACAUUGGAACUGAGACACGGUCCAAACUCCUACGGGAGGCAGCAGUGAGGAAUAUUGGUCAAUGGACGAGAGUCUGAACCAGCCAAGUAGCGUGAAGGAUGACUGCCCUAUGGGUUGUAAACUUCUUUUAUAAGGGAAUAAAGUGAGGGACGUGUCCCUUUUUGUAUGUACCUUAUGAAUAAGGAUCGGCUAACUCCGUGCCAGCAGCCGCGGUAAUACGGAGGAUCCAAGCGUUAUCCGGAUUUAUUGGGUUUAAAGGGAGCGUAGGCUGGAGAUUAAGCGUGUUGUGAAAUGCCGCGGCUCAACCGUGGCACUGCAGCGCGAACUGGUUUCCUUGAGUGCGCUGAAAGUGGGCGGAAUUUGUGGUGUAGCGGUGAAAUGCUUAGAUAUCACGAAGAACUCCGAUUG
rnacentral:rRNA from 1 species